GGUAAAAAGAUAUUGCAGAAAUCCUGGAGGAGAUGCCAAUGACCAGACUUGAGAGAAAUCCUGGGUGGGGCACCUCGACUCUUCAGUUCUAACAUCAGCCACUUUUCUAGGAAACUGACUUUACGGUCUAGGUGCUGCUGUUUAUCUUUUUUAAAAAGCGUAAGAAGGUAGGAAUUUCACCAGGCAUUUAGUGAUGGACUCAACUCUGUUUGCCGAGUAACUUCCCUUAGCAAACUUCAAUGCCACCGCAACACCUUGGCCACGCCCUCCACGCCCGUGGGGAUGAGGAAGGAACCCCAAGUGGGGGGCUGGUCCUGAGGCAUUGUCAACCUCCUUCUGAUUCUGAGGAUGGAAUUCUGGGACUCCCACACCCCCAGAGUCAAGAGCAGCUGUCAGGAGGGCCCUACAUAGAAUGUCUGACCUGGCAGCCAUUUGGGGGUAGGGCCAGUGAAGCCAAAGACCUAUGAGGACUUCCUUCAGCCCUGGGAUAAAGGCGAAGCUCCUUCUGUGAUACUCAAGGUCUUUCAGUGUCAUCCCCAAAUUGUCCUUCCAUAUGCCCCCUCUACCUGGCUGACUCCUGCUCCUCCGAGCUCCCCUGUCACCAUUGCUAGGAAGCCCUGUCUCAGUCUCUCCAGUUCCCUGUCCUGAGUCAGGCUUCCUGUGGGAUCCCAGCUUCCUCAGCAUCCCGGCCCUAGGUCAUCCUUGCCUGCUUAUGUGCCUGUUGUCCGCACAGAGGAGGACACCGUGUCUAUUUAGUCUCUAUAUCCCAGGGUCUGUACAAAGAAGUGCUCGGUAAAGCUUUGCUGAACUGAGGAGGGUAGACGGAGUGGCCACGGUGGGGACAUCAGUUCCUACCCCUUCGGCUCCUUUCGCGGGCUUCCGCCCCCUCUGCUGAGUCUCCUGUAGGGAAAGGUGCACAUGAAGAGUAGUUAGAGGCAGCCGAAAGGCCGAGAGCUACCACAAGGUAGAUGUGGGCUCCAGUCCUGUUCAGAUGUCAGCUGAUUUAGCGGAGCCGGAGGAUUCCUGUGUGUUGACGGGGGAUCCUAUUCCACCAGAGGAGCAGAGAGGGCGUGAGGAAUAAAUGAAAUAACGUGAGAAAAGCAGCAUCCAGAGGUCAGGUACCCACUUGCUCAUGAAAUUAUAGAAGUGUUAGAACUGCAGAAAGUGCAGAGAACCCAGAUGCCCAGGAGAAAUAGGCACUCAUUCUGUCCAAGGGACUGAGGCAGGGAAAGCUCUCAACUUGAGAGGACUUUUGAACUGGGCUUUGAAGGAUAAAUAGGAGUUGGGCUUUGGAGGAUAAAUAGGAGUUCCCCAUAAAUAGUCAGAGGAAAUUGAGGUGAGAAGACUGGGAGUGACACAGGGAGAGCAUCCCAGCAUCUACAUGGAACUACACUAAGCAGGAUUUGGGUUAAGAAGGAGGAGGGACUUCUCAUCCCAGAGCCUUGGGCAGAAUUCAAGUCCAGGAUUUGCCUAAAGGUAAAAUGAGCUAUGAAGGGUCAAGGGCCCCUUCAUCAUAAGUCAAAGGUCAACUGGCCCAUCCCUCUAUGACUAAGCUACCCAACUACUUUUGUCCCUAAACCUGCUUCCUUUGUGCUGGAAGUGAGUCCUGCCUUGAGUGAGCAGGGGAAGAAGGGCGAGCAGCCCCCACCACCCGCUCUCCAAGAGGCUGACCCCACCCUGCGCAGGGUGUUCAUUUCUCCCCACAGCCUUGACCCAGGGCAGUGAUACCAAAUUGGAAAACAAGCCCCCUUUCCGGCCGGGAGCGACAGAAGGAGGCAGGCCCAUUUUCUAGGUCAGAACUCCUUGCCCUUCCUGGCCUAGGCCAUGUUUUUCGAAACUAGACUUUGUGGAGAGAGGGAGAGAGUGUGGAUGCUUCUGUGUGCACGAAUGAGUGUGUAGGGCUGUGUGGAGAGAGGGACAGGGAGGGAGAGAGAACAGAGCCUCGGCGUGUGUGUUAUUUGUGUGUGUGUGUGUGUAGAAAGGGUGACAGAGAGAGAGAAAACAGAGCCUGGGCGUGUGUGUGUAUGUGUAUGUGUGUGGAGAAAAGGUGACGGAGAGAGCAAGAGAACGGAGCCUGGGCGUGUGUGUGCGUUUGGCUGUGUGACUGCGUGACUCUGUGCAAGAGAGACUGUGUGUGUGUGUGUGUGUGUGUGUGUGUGUGUGUGUCGCUCCAGGAGCAAGCUGUACCUUAAAGCCAUAGACCCCGCCUCGGCCCUGCUCCCCUCCACUUCCACCCCCAGCCAGAACCACCUCCCACCACAUCAGCUGGGAACCAGAGCUGGGCCUGGCCAGGGUGACUCCCGCUUGGCCUGAGGGGACAGAAGCAGCCCCAGCCCUCUCAGGCACCCCCUGCAUGGCUGAGGCUUGAGAGCUCAGAAAUGGGUCCUACUGGAGGAAGGAGAAAGGGGCUUUAUUCCUGAGGAAGGCAGGGCCUCCCAGGGGACUGGGGGCUGGGGAGGGGCGGAGGUAGGCCCAGCUCCCGGGCAAGACUGCGGGGUGAGGGCCCAGCUCCUCACUUACUAGGGGUGGGAGUCGGUGGAGGGAGGCCACAACCUCCUCACCUCCUUGCAGGGCAGCCACAGAGCUGUGCCGCAGUCACGAUGGAGACCAUGAGGUAUGGUGCUGGCAGGACAACCAGGAGGGUCUCUGUGACAGACAGGAAGCUCCCGCCUCAGGUCUGCGCUCUCAGGCAGCCUUCCUGCCAUCUUGGCAGCUGGAGCUUGCAGACACAGAGCGGGGGUGUUUGUUUUCCUCCCACAGCAGCCUGCCCCUCCCCCCGCUCUCACACCCGGUUUUGGCUCCCAGGCUGGAGGUGCUGGGCGGAGCCCUGAGAGGCUAAGACCUGGUUUCUCGGCCUCUGACUGGCUGUGUGGUCCUGGACAGGUCCCUCACCUUCUCUGGGCUGCCCCUGCCUGCUCUGCAUAUUCGAGAAGUUGGGUUCCGAGACUUUGCUGGCUCUUCCACCUUUCACAUUUCCAGGUUCUGGGUCCCAUGAUGGGCAUCAUUUGAUGAGAAGAUGCCGCGAUCCAGGAAGAGGAUGAGAAAUUACCAGCCCUGAACCCUCCCGGCCCGAACCCAGAGCCAGAAAAAGUAGUAUGCGCUGAAGUGUCCAUAGAAAGCUCCUGGUCCAACUCCUCCAUUUCACAGUUGGGGAAACUGAGGCUGGAAGGGGGAGGAUGGAGGUGGUGAUUUGCCCGAUAUGCCCGAGGAGUGAGAGCCCAAGCCAGGACUGGAGCCCGGUCCCCUGGCCCCAGCCUCCAGCUACCAGGCAGAGCCCGGGUCGCCUAGGGAGCAGCGGGCGCCAGGAGGCCGGGAGGAGGCGGAGGAGCGGGGGCGCGCCCGGCCGCCCCGGCCCCGCGGGCCCCUUCCGGCCCCUCCCCCAGCCUGCGCACCGUCCCGCCACCUGCUCCCCGGUCCGCUGGGGCGGGGCCGCCGCCCCCCGUCUCCAUGGCAACGCGCGGCCCGGCCGGCCGCCCUGGCCUCGCUGCCGCCGCGCAGCCCAUCUGGCCCCAAGCCCGCCCCAGCUGGACCGCCCGAGGCCCCGUCGGCCGGGGGCCCCCACAGCCCCGCGGCGCCCGAGAGCAAGGCAGGAGCGCCGGGCGUCGGGCACCAGCGAUGCCAGCACCUGGGCUGGCUGCGAGGCUCAUCCCGAUGGAUCAGAAGCUGUGCUGCCCUCCCGGAUCCCCGAGUCUAGAGAGUAUCCUCCCCCCCCCCACACCCCCCCCCACCCAGCACAUUCGCUCAGGGCGGCAGGAGGAGCUCUCAGGAUUGGAGGCGAGCUCUCUGGAGCCAGCCACCCUGGAGGCGAAUCCCCAAGGAGGGUGACCCUGGGCAAUUUACUUAAGCUUUUACCCGUCUGAAAAAUGGAGGCGAGCACAGAACCUGGCUCUCUGGGUGGUUGUGAGGGUUAAAUGGGUCAAUAAAGAAAAAUACAUGGAGUGAGCACGCAAUAAGUAUCAGCUAUUAUUAUUACUGCAGGUGGCAAGUGCUGCAGAGAGGGCCAUGGAAGCCCGGAGUAAGGGUCCUAACCCAGCAUGGGGGCAGCAGGGGCCGCUUCCUGGAGGAGGCCGUGCUGGUUGGUGUCGGCGCAAAUAACAGUUAGCCAGGAAGCAGAAGAGAAGAGGGAGCAGCAGCAGCAAAGACGUAGAGAUGAAAAAUAGCGUGGGGGAGGGGGGGAAGACUUACAAAGCCCCUCAGUGUUGCUGGAGAGGAUACAAGAGCCUGGCUUUCAGUUGGAGGGCAGUGGCACGGGAGCCACUGAAGGGUUUUCACAGAGCCAAGACAUGUUCCUUGUUUUCCUAGAGAUCACUCUAGCCGCCAUACGUGCAGUGGCUUGGAGGGGCCAGCAUCCUUUUGAGAGAUGAUGAGGCCUAAACAAGGGGAGAUGCAAGAGAAGAAGACUUAGCUUCAGGACUGAAUUCUAAGCUUCAUUUCCCUGGAGCUGAGCAGAAUCUGUCUAAAAAAAGUUAAG
rnacentral:lncRNA from 1 species